rnacentral:rRNA from 1 species
GACAGAGGAUGCAAGCGUUAUCCGGAAUGAUUGGGCGUAAAGCGUCUGUAGGUGGCUUUUUAAGUCCGCCGUCAAAUCCCAGGGCUCAACCCUGGACAGGCGGUGGAAACUACCAAGCUGGAGUACGGUAGGGGCAGAGGGAAUUUCCGGUGGAGCGGUGAAAUGCGUAGAGAUCGGAAAGAACACCAACGGCGAAAGGCACUCUGCUGGGCCGACAUCUACACUGAGAGACGAAAGCUAGGGGAGCAAUGGG